rnacentral:rRNA from 1 species
CGCGCAGGCGGUCGAUCAAGUCGAGUGUGAAAGCCCCCGGCUCAACUGGGGAGGGUCAUUCGAUACUGAUCGACUCGAAGGCAGGAGAGGGUAGUGGAAUUCCCGGUGUAGUGGUGAAAUGCGUAGAUAUCGGGAGGAACACCAGUGGCGAAGGCGACUACCUGGCCUGUUCUUGACGCUGAGGCGCGAAAGCUAGGGAGCAAAC